UGGCAGUAGGUGUCAGUGAGA
rnacentral:misc_RNA from 1 species